CUCCUGCGCCCCGGGGUGGGGCUGGCCGGGCUACUCGGGCCACGCAGCUGGAACCUGGAAAUUAGGAUUGGAAUCCUGAACUCCUAAAUCCAAACUACAGACUGGAAGUUACCAAAAAAUGUCACAGUGGUUCCUUGAUCAGGUAGAAAGAUGACAGAGCCCAACAUACCAGAACCUAGAAAGGUAUAUUUCUAAAAUAAGACCCCAACUGUCUUAAUUCGCUUUUAUUUUUGGCUGAUUUUUUUUCUUCCUGGUUGUGUUUAAGUUUCUGGUUCCCAAGGAGAUUUUUGCAAAGGGUAGGGUGCUGUUACCGAUACGCCCUGAAAUAAUAAUAGCUAACAUUUGUGCCAAACUUUGCUCAUUACUUUAUGCAACAAAUAUUUUUGAGUACCUCCAUGUACCAGGUCACUGGGGACUCACCACUGAACAAGACAGAUCCACGCCCACGUGAAGCUUACAUUGUGUGGGCAGAUAGACAAUAAGAUGCUAAGUAGUAUGUUAGAUGGUGGUAAAUACUAGGGAGAAAAAGUAGGGCAAAGAGAUAGGGAGCACUGGGAUGGACAUUUUAUUUUAUUUUAUUGUUAUGUAUUUAUUUAUUUUUGAGACGGAGUCUGUCGCCUACGCUGGAGUGCAGUGGCGCCAUCUCGGCCCACUGCAACCUCCACCUUCCGGGUUCAAGUGAUUCUCCUGCCUCAGCCACCAGAGUAGUUGGGAUUACAGGCACCCACCACCACGCCUGGCUAAUUUUUUUUUUUUUUAAUUUUUAGUCGAGAUGAGGUUUCACUAUAUGCUGGCCAGGCUGGUCUCGAACUCCUGGCCUCAAGUGAACCAUCCACCUCAUCCACCCAAAGUGCUGGGAUUACAGGUGUGAGGAACGGUGCCCGGUUAUGGGGAUGGUCAUUUUAAAUAGGCAGGUUAGGGAAGGCCUCACUGAGAACAGGGUAUUUGCAUAAAAAUCUACAGGAGGCGAAGGAGGCGGUCUAGAGGGAAGAGCACUUUGGUCAAAGGAUCAGGUGCAUAAAUGCGGAGGAAUGAGGAUGCCCGGCUUGCUGGAGGAUCAAGGGAAGGUAAGAGGGGUAGGUGAAGUCAGGAAGGAAGCGGGUAAGGGAGUGGGGGUGGAUCUUGGGGGCUUCACAGGUUAUUUUCAAGACUGGCUUUUACUUUCAAGACUGGAAUAGAGGAAUUAACAGAAAAAGGGUCUCAUUCCAGACCCAAGAGCAGGUUCUUAGACGUCCACGGCAAAGAAUCAGGGCAAGUCGCAGAGCAUAGUAGUUAAAAUAGUUCAUUAGAAACUACUCCAUUUCUAAUAAUAGUACUACUGUGUUUCUGAGUAGUAUCCUUGCUUUGAAGUAGUACUAAGCAAGUAUUGUUUAUAUAGGAGCACCUCUGCCUUCAAUGUAAUGCUUGCUUUUAUAGGGCUAAAACUAGCGUACUUCAUUACAAAAGCCUAUGAUCAGCUUGUUACAGACUAUUAGUAUUGUUAUUCUCUUGUGUAACUAUUGACUUCAGGGAGAAUUUAUGGGUGUACUGUUAUCUUUAAAGUGAAACUCAUUUUUAAACUAAGAAUGCCUUUUUCCAUUAUCUCAUUUCCUCAACCAUAAACAUCUUGUGAAGAGUGCCUAUCUUCCUGGGAAAGUCGCCCAGCAGGUUUGGCUUUAUCUGACCUUUAUUCAAGAUGGAAUCACUCUGGUUAGGACACUUCUGACAUAAUUCCCUCCUCCUUUUUACAAGGAGACCUUUAAUCCUAAGGGGUGCAGGGGGACAGAGAUCCAUCUUCAGUAACUUCAAGCUGAACAGAAGCGAUGAUAUUCCUGCCUAACCAUUAGGAUCCCUUUGCCCAAAGUAGAGAGCUAGCCAGUCAGAAAGCAUCUGUAUAGUGAGGACCAAUCAUACAUAAUUCUAAGUCCCAGAAAAAGGUGAAAUCUAGAAAAUUAACGUGUUAAAUUUAAAGAAGCAUUGAAUAAGCUUAACUCUUAUUCCUACAUAAAAAGUACAAUGCAGUAUAUUCCACAGCACAAAACAGAAUGAAUAGAAUUAUCCCAAGCAUGCUAAACAAAAAAAGUUUCCCAAGGACUAGGCAGUUGUUAGAACCAAGCUGAUAUGGGGUCAACUGACAGCGUGUCAAUGGCAGAGAUGUGGGUGUCUAAGUCUUUUGUGGCCUGAGUAACAUUAUGUGAAUAGUCUGGAAUGUAUGCAUAACAUUCUGUUUUGAUUAUAGCAUAAGUUCCCCCUUUGAGCUGCUGUUAACAUGUCCAGAGCCAUAGUUUCAUAAGGCUAUCUGUCUAAUUUGAGAUGUUUCUUCAGUCAAGAGGGUAAGGGCAUGGCGUGUAUUAUUGAAAACUGCAGCUGUGUUUAGCUAUGGCUUUGGCUUGAAGCUCAAUGUCAAUUGUGGCUGCCUGUGGGGAGAAGACAGUGUCAGGCCUCUGAGCUGAAGCUCAGCCAUUGUAACCCUUGUGACCUGCACCUAUAAGUCCAGAUGGCCUGCAGGAGCCAAGAAGUCUGGAGCAGCCAAAAAAACACAAAAGAAGUGCAACAAAAGAAGCUCCUGCCUUGACUGAUUGACCAGCCUUACGACGUUCCACCAUUAUGAAUUGUUCCUGUCCUGCCCCAACUGAUCAAUCGACCUUGUGACAUUCUUCUUCUGGACAAUGAAUCUUAUGAUCUCCCCACCAUGGACCCUGUGACCCCCUCCUCUGCUGACAAUAGAUAACCACCUCUAACUGUAACAUUCCACUGCCUACCUCAGUCCUAUAAAGCUGCCCCUCUCCUAUCUACCUUCGCUGACUCUCUUUUCGUACUCAGCCCACUUGCACCCAAGUGAAUAAACAGCCCUGUUGCUCACACAAAGCCUGUUUAGGUGGUCUUCUAUACGGACACAUGUGACAGAUAGCCAAUGGGUAAAACAACCAAGAAGACUGCUUUUGUCACUUAUGACGAGCUUUUACAGUUUCCCAGUUAGAUGGGAGAGAUUAUAAUUUAGUGAGGAUACAUCCUGGGAGAUGAAGAUGACCCUAUGUACAUCUUCCAGUCCAAUUAUAAGGCACAUAUGGCCAGCCAUGUGACCCACAUGCCCAUAAUCAACCCCAAGGAGAAGUACAAGCACCUAGCCAUAAAGACUCAUUUUGCCAUCCCAUCCACGUUUGGCUAGUUACAAGAAGGGUGCAAUUAUAGUGUUGGGGUAGUAACCAUUCCAUGUUACAGGUUUCAGUGUAGUAAUCACUGCUAUUGUCUUUCAAAGCAUAGGGGCACUCUGCCUAAUACCUGAACUUAGACAGCUGUCAUCCAUUCAUCGUGUACAGUAUAACCUUACGUCAGAGUGGAGUUUAAUUUUCUGAUCAAACAAAAAAGAGGCUUCUUUGUUUCACGGUGGGAAGGGAAAGGGCUGGGCCCUGUGUUUCUGUAGUAGAAGGGAAAAAGGGUGGUCCAUUUACCCCAAUCAUAAUAAUUUCCCCAUAUGCUCAUAGUGGCUGGCAGGAUGUGCCAGGGCAGCCUGAGGUGGAGGAGGCAUUAGUUCCGUGCAUACUCAGCAAUUAGUGUUGUUGUGUAGGGAGGCUAAAGUCUGUGCCCAUUUGGCAAAGAGAUUGCUUCUUAGCUGGUUCCAAUACAUGCGCAGAAUUAAGAUGUUAAUCCAAAUCUUUAAGUUAUU
rnacentral:lncRNA from 1 species